GGGAAAAUUAGAAGUUGAUAAAAAGUAUCUAUUUUUACAUGGAUGUUUUAAUGAAAUAUUAGUGUACGUAUUAAUUUUAUAUGGUACCAUGAUUCAUUAAUAUUUUAAUAGUAGUACCUGAGACAAGGCUUAUAUUCUUUAAUUGUUUCAUGGUGUAUUCACGUGUCAUUUCUACAUAAUUGACAUAAAUGUAGUAUAUUAAAGGAUUAAUGGAUAAGUACCAACAUAUUCUUCCACAGCAUAUUUUAUUUUUCUUUAGUACUAAUAGCAAGUACCUUUGUUUUCUUCUUUCAAGUUCGUUGAUAGCAGCAGCAAAUAUCUUUUGCUUAAAUUAAUCAAUAGUACCAGCAAGUAUUUGAUUCCUUCCUUCAAAUUUUCACAGUAGCAGCAAUCGAUUUUCCUCCUCUUCAAAUUAAUGAAGUGCUACAGAAACUUGUUCCUUCUUUAAAUUUCAACGUAGUGCGGUAGUAACCUAUUAAAGGUUCCUUUUAUGAAAUUUCCUCAAGUUCUCUCAAAUCCAUCCAAGAUCAAGUAUAGCUUUAUUCCUUCGUCGAUUUCAUGAUUAUAAUUUCGAUCCCCUCCGAAUCUUAGCAAUUUCGGGAUUACUUUGUGUUGAAGUUGAAGCUUUCUUCUAGGUGAAGUAUCCUAAGAUUAAGGAUUUUCUUGUGUGAUUGAGAUUUUGGACGAAACGGGAAGUGAACUUGGAAAGGCGUAAAGAGCGUAAAAGGUACUGACGACAGGUUUUGGUGACCCACCCGCCUAGGACAUAUAUUUUGCUAUUUGGAGCGCUCUUUGUCCAGAGCCUAUAUUUUGGUACAGUUUGCUACUAUUACAUAUAUGUACAUUAUUCAGGGGUACGACGGGGCCCUGUCCCGUCCUAUGAUUCUGUUAUGAUCUGUAGAGGUCUGUAGAGAUACUUGUGUGGGUUCUGUAUAUGUUUUGAUAUGAUAUGAUCUGUGACAGCCUCAUCGGCUUCCAUGUACUAUGCCGGUGCAUCUAUGAUAAUUAUUAAUGUCAAA